GCGGAGGAAAAGAAACCAACAGGGAUUGCCUCAGUAACGGCGAGUGAAGCGGCAACAGCUCAAAUUUGAAAUCUGGCUCCUUCGGGGUCCGAGUUGUAAUUUGCAGAGGAUGCGUCGGGUACGGGUCCCUACCGAGUUCCCUGGAACGGGACGCCAUAGAGGGUGAGAGCCCCGUCUGGUAGGAUACCCAGCCCAUGUGACGCUCCCUCGACGAGUCGAGUAGUUUGGGAAUGCUGCUCUAACGGGAGGUAUACUCCUUCCAAAGCUAAAUACCGGCUGGAGACCGAUAGCGCACAAGUAGAGUGAUCGAAAGAUGAAAAGCACUUUGAAAAGAGAGUCAAACAGCACGUGAAAUUGUUAAAAGGGAAGCACUCGCUACCAGACUUGGGUUUGGCGGUUCAACCGGGGCCACGCCCCGGGGCAUUCCGCCAGCUCAGGCCAGCAUCAGCUUUCCGUCGGGGGCAAAGACGUCGGGAAUGUGGCUCCCCCUCGGGGGAGUGUUAUAGCCCGGCGUGUCAUACCCUUCGGGGGGCUGAGGUACGCGCUUCUGCAAGGAUGCUGGCGUAAUGGUAGCUAGUGACCCGUCUUGAAACACGGACCAAGGAGUCAACCUUAUGUGCGAGUGCCCGGGCGUAAAACCCCAGCGCGGAAUGAAAGUGAACGUAGGUGAGAGCUUCGGCGCAUCACCGACCGAUCCUGAUGUCCUCGGACGGAUUUGAGUGAGAGCAUAUAGGGUUGGACCCGAAAGAAGAUGAACUAUGCGUGUGUAGGGUGAAUCCAGAGGAAACUCUGGUGGAGGCUCGCAGCGGUUCUGACGUGCAAAUCGA
rnacentral:misc_RNA from 1 species